UACAGAGGUCUCAAGCGUUGUUCGGAUUCAUUGGGCGUAAAGGGUGUGUAGGUGGCGCCGUAAGUCGGGUGUGAAAUUUCGAGGCUUAACCUCGAAACUGCAUUCGAUACUGCGGUGCUUGAGGACUGGAGAGGAGACUGGAAUUUAUGGUGUAGCAGUGAAAUGCGUAGAUAUCAUAAGGAAGACCAGUGGCGAAGGCGGGUCUCUGGACAGUUCCUGACGCUGAGGCACGAAGGCCAGGGGAGCAAACGGG
rnacentral:rRNA from 1 species